CACGUAGGGGGCAAGCGUUGUCCGGAUUUAUUGGGCGUAAAGAGCGUGUAGGCGGCCAUGCAGGUCAGCUGUGAAAACUCGAGGCUCAACCUCGAGACGUCGGUUGAAACCGCAUGGCUAGAGUCCGGAAGAGGAGAGUGGAAUUCCCGGUGUAGCGGUGAAAUGCGCAGAUAUCGGGAAGAACACCUAUGGCGAAGGCAGCUCUCUGGGACGGUACUGACGCUGAGACGCGAAAGCGUGGGGAGCAAACAGG
rnacentral:rRNA from 1 species